UGAUGAUCUUUAAACACCAAGAAAACCUACUGCAAUCUGGAAUAUUAGAAUAGGUACCGAACUGAGGAGCAAGAAUCCGCUAGUAAUUCACGCCCGCCCCUGAAAAGGUUAUUAAUUGCAUAUAGGUGCCACAAGAUGGCAGUAAAACACUUUUUUUCUGUAUUGGACAAGGCUACGUGGGUGACGAAAUGAAGCUCCUCCCCUCACGGCAACAAUUCCUUGGCCAUAAGAUGGCGCCAAAGCAAUAUUUUUAUACAAGACAUGGCUUUGGUUCGAGCACAAAAACAGCAAAUAGGCAAGAUAUCAGAUGUAACCGACGUAUUGGAGCUCAUUCUAGCUUGUGCAGGUGUACCCAAUGAAGUGUCCGAGAUAAAGAUUGCAGCUGGAUUCAUCCGAAUUCCGGAUUUGCUCCUCCAGCUGCUUGCAGCGCUCAUUCUGGUUGGACAUCUUCUCGGACAGCAGCUCGUUCCGCUGUCUGGCUUUGGUUACAAAUGAUGCUCUUCUUGUCCUUGAGCCGUUGGCGGUAGGAGGCUCGCAGCGCCUUCAUCUGUCGACGGUGCUGCACGCGGUGCCUCUUGAGCUGGACGCGGUACUGCUCGGCCUGAUGCUGCAGCUGCUGGAAGUGGGAGUACUGCUCCAGGAAGCUCAGCAGCUGGCCCUGUGAUGUCCUCCUCUUGUCUGACUCUUGCUUAAAGGACAGAAAUGCAGCCAGAGGAGUGCAUGCUGGGAUAUCACCGCCAUCUUGCUCGUCUUCAUCACUCAUGGACAUGUCAUCACUGUCACUGCUACUGCCUGGAUGACCACAAUUCACAUGAUCAGAGAUUAAACAUCACACAAUGCAUUUGGAUCAGUCUUAUUUAUUGUGAACACUUACUUGAAUCACUAAGCCUAGCACAAGCCUUCUUUCUCAUUUUGGGGGUGUGGCCAUCUUUCCUCCUUCUCCCUGUUUCCAUGGAAACAGGUCUUGGCUCCUGAGCACAGCAAGAUAAAUGAGGGUCAGGUGGAAUGAUCACAAUAUUUACACAUCGCAUGUAGAGCCGCGUGCAUUGACGGUUUACACCCAAGAAAGAGACCUCGUUUAAACGGUCAAGUUUUUUUUGCCAUGACACAUGCAUAGCCCUUAUGUAAAAUGCUAUUUUUUUGAAAAAGGAAGCCCCGACACUGGAUAUGAUGCAGCGAGACAUACGUCUGCGGAGGCUCCACGUGAUGCCUCUAAGGCUUCCUCCUCCUCCUCCUUCUUGAAGACAGUGUAGAAGAUGUAGACUAAAAGGGAGUAGAAGGCAUACAUCUCCACAAUGUGCAACAGUUCCUGUGAAUUAAAAACAUGCAGCAUUGGACAUUUUUAGCUAUUGGAAUUGCUUUUUUUUCUGACACAUACCAUCAUGCGUUGUGUUCCAUAUUCUUUACCUUAGCAUAUAUCGCCUCCAGUCAUUUGUAUUCCAAUUUCACACUCCCAUCCAUGACACAUCUUUCCCUUGCAGCUCCUUUUCUCACGGCAGCAACAGCAUCUCAAGUGCUGUGAAGCCCAUCUGACUGUGGUCUCCUCCUCUUUCUCCUCCUCCUCUGCACUCUUGGGCCAUUUACAGGCCACAGCUGCAGCGAGCAUGCUCAGUGCAGUCUCGGUCUGCUGCAGCAGAUGCUUGACAGGCAUGAUUCAACUGCUCGGUGCCAAAGUGAUGAGCGAAUGGUUCACAAACAACCAGCUCCUGUAUAUAUUUACUUGCUAUCAUGCCAUUGCUAAAAUACUGCAAAAUGAUGUUGCACAAUAUUUUAUUAAUUCUAAACAUAUAUUUUCAGGCACAAUAAGUCACAAAACAAACAAUGGCAAUAAAGUAGCAGUGACUGAUCCUAAAAAGUAAUAAAUGCCACAUGUAACAUUAAGUGUAUGACUGACAAACAUUCUAGAUAAAAACAGGGUAUAAAGUAAAUCAAAAAUAAGUACUGUACACUGAUAAAUACUCAUAUGUAAC